CGAAGGAUGCAAGCGUUAUCCGGAUUCAUUGGGUUUAAAGGGUGCGUAGGCGGACUGAUAAGUCAGUGGUGAAAUCUCUCAGCUUAACUGAGAAACUGCCAUUGAUACUGUUAGUCUAGAGUAUAGAUGACGUUGGCGGAAUAUGACAUGUAGUGGUGAAAUACUUAGAUAUGUCAUAGAACACCGAUUGCGAAGGCAGCUAACGAAACUAUAACUGACGCUGUGGCACGAAAGUGCGGGGAUCAAACAGGAUUAGAUACCCUGGUAGUCCGCACCGUAAACGAUGAUUACUCGUUGUUGGCGAUAUGACAGUCAGCGACCAAGCGAAAGCGAUAAGUAAUCCACCUGGGGAGUACGCCGGCAACGGUG
rnacentral:rRNA from 1 species